rnacentral:lncRNA from 1 species
GUGCACUCUGGGAGGAGAUUUUGAGUCAGAGGCUAAGCCUGUCGAGGGGUCUGUGUGGUUCAGAUCUGUUCUAACGUCCAGGUUUCCGUGUUUGCCCGGACGGCUCUUGCGCCCUGAAAUCGGUGCACUCUAGGACGUGUUCACCUUAGGGUCUGUGCGUCCCUCGGAUUCUUUGCAGAGCACCUCCUAUCUGGUGCCUGGAGCGUCUGAGCACGCGUCCCAGGGGAGCUCGUCCCCACGGAGGAAUCUAUGCGUUCCAGCUCAGCGUUCCCGGGUUCCGUGCCCGUUAUUGCACUGGGCACCCGGAUUCCGCCAGGCUGCCCAGACACGCAACUGACCUUGUCAGGUAUCAGAAUGACGAGUGGAAGCAUCAGGAUCGGGGUGAAGAGCAAAAUCGCAAAGGACUUGAACUUGGUCACACAAGUCUUCGCCGAAUCCAUCGCGUGAAAGGGAGACUGACUGGAGGGAGAAAAGAUUGCGAGGCAGCUAGAAGCUUCACGAGCUUAAAAGGGGGACGCGCGGUCCCACCGGAUUGGGGGCGGCUACAACUCCGCCCCCCAUUGCCAGGCCUCCCUGCGGUCCUGGGGCGGAGCCACCCCUCGGGGUCUGUGGGGAGUGUCUGUCCCAGGACUCUGCCACCCCGCGGCAGAGUGAGGCGUUUGCAGAUUUCAGUGCUUGGCACCAGCCCUCUAUGGAGAGGACUGGACCCUGGCACCUCACCACUUGCCAGCCCGUUGGCGCUGCUCUGGUCCUCAGUACCAUGCAGGGUGUGCCGGUCAUUCUGCCAGCUUAAGCGUGAGGACCCUUUGUGUACUCUCACCUGCUCUCUCCUGGACUCCGGAAUGUCCCAGAUGAAAAACACCAGCCUGUAGGAUUCUCAGGCUUCUCUCUCCAAAGCGUUCUCCUUCUCAUCCCUAUCCCGGAGGGGCGUCUCCUAGAGGCGAUGGCCGAGCCCUGCGCCACCGCGGUCUUCUCACCUCCAAGAUCCGCUGGCUUCCUCCUAGCGUUAGCCCGACUCUAGACAUAGAACCCAUUUCCCUCCUCGUGCCGUCUCCUACCCAGCGCACCGUAGGCGCUCUAGAGGGACCGCUAAGGAAGGCGGUCACUGUCCUCGCAGACCGAACGACUUUUACCCUCCAGCGAACGCGCUUGCGCAGGCCGGCCGUCUUUGCCCAGGCGCGGGUAGUUGCUGCCGCCCACUUACCAACCACCUCGCUAGUACCAUUUUAUGGUGGGAGACGGGGCCUUAGAAAAGAGGGGGCAUAAUCCUGCCAACCAUCAUCGAGGCAUUCGUUCAUUCAUUAAUCCUCCCCUUAACAGACCUGUGUGUAGUACCUGCUGUGCUAAGUCCUGUUUGGGACACCAACACAAGAGGGUGCAAUGACAUUAUUGACACUUCGCCCUGCCACCACCACCACCAGGAAAGAACUACUGAAUUCCCCACCUUCUCAGCCUGUGAAUGUCGAAGGCCCUAAAACAGAACACACAUUUGUAUCAAGAUUUUUGACUCUGUUCCUGUGACCUGCCUGUCACCUUGCCCUCAAGUCUGCAACUGCCUUCUUCAGGCCCUCUCUAUUUUCGGUUUGUUUGCUUGUUUGCAUCUAUGUGGCCCUGGGCCCAUCCCUUCCCCCAGGGCAAUUAAAACUAGAGUUCCUGCUUUGGGGUGUGUGUGUGUGUGUGUGUGUGUGUGUGUGUUUCAAGACUCUAUGUGUAUGAGUAUUUUGCAUGCAUAUAUAUGUGUGUAUCAUUUGCAUGUCUGAUAACCCCAGAGUCAGAAGAGAGUGUCAGAGUCCCUGAAACUGAAAUAAUAGACAGUUGGGAACAGCCAUAUGGGUUCUGGGAAAUGAACCCAGGUCCUCUUCCAGCAAGAAGAGUGAGUCCUGCUGUUAACCAUGGAGCCAGCUUUCCAGCCUUUUGGAGUUUUUAUUUAAUCUUCGUUUUAUUUAUCACCAUGUGCCCACUUAACACCCUUUACCAGGCCUCAUUCAGGACGUUCACUCAAAGUCUGGGAUCUACGAUGCUGGUCAACCAUUCUGCUGUAAUUUAAGUGCUUUAAAGUCUAUAAAGUGUGCGCUGCAGCUAAAUGCCUGAAUCCAUACUCUGUCCCUGUGUGGCCUUGGUGGAUGUUUCCAUUCUGGAUUCAUCUUCUCAUAUAUAGAAUCAGAUCAACUUUGAUUCCCAGUAGUCGUUUUAAGACCCCCAAGUCAAUGUUCUGAGUGUUUAAAGUAGCUCUGUGGCUUACAGUCAGCCAUCAGUGGCAUUCGCCCUUGCAAUAAUAUGGGACACACUGUGGGUAUCCUUGGGCAAAAGAUCUUCCAAGUUCGAGGAAGGCUUCAUAGAGGGGGGCAGCAUUUGAGUGGAGACUUCAAGGUAAAGAAUUUGCCAGGGAAAGCUAGUCAAAACCAUCACAGAGUGUUCUCUCAAACAUGGAGCUCAGAUUUAAACUGUGUGUGUGUGUGUGUGUGUGUGUGUGUGUGUGUGUGUGUGUAUUAACAUAUAAGGGGUCGUGAGACCAGGAAGAUGCUGGAGGAGAAGGAGCACUACCAGAAGUGGAAAGAGAGCAACAGGAUCCAUAAUGUGACAUAAAAGUAGAAGGGAGGACUGUCUGGGAAGGGAAAGGAACCAUGGGGCGGGGCGCCGCACAGAGAAGGCGACAGGGGAAGGGACAAACAGAAACAAACGGCACACAUGCAUGAAGAUGCCAUCUUGAAACCCAGUACCCUGAAUGCUCACCCAAAAAUCAGUCAAAUGUAAACUUCCAAAGGCAGUUUAUCCAAGGUCAUUCAGGGAUGUUGGAAACUAGUGUCACAACAGCAAAACACAAGUCAAUGAAGAGUCCGUACCAGGUUCAGGGACGAGCAGACUACCACACAGCUUUUACAUGGGUACUGGGAACAAAACUCAGGUACUUAAGCUUGAGCAGCAAGCACUUUACUGAGCCAUCUCUCCAGCACCCCGUACCCCACCUUGCAAGGGAUUUUUAAAAAAUCCAAAUAUUCAAGCAAAAAAGAAAGUAAUCAGGAAUAAAGAUUAUUUUAGAAAACAGUGGAUUUU